ACCUAGGUUGGUUGAAGGACUCGGUAAGAAGUAGAGUGUCACUUUAAUGGUGCUUAUAGCUCCCCAAGGGCUAAACCAAUGAGCUUCCCAAGUGAGUUUGCUUUGCCUUCCCUAUGGAGUGAGUUUGUUCCAGGGAAUAAUCAAACUUAACUGGGCUCCCAGCUCCAUAAGGACUUAUUCAACCCGUCCUCCCAUUCCAGACGAGAGUCAGUACUAGGUUUCUUCAUUCCUCUCCUCCUGGUAUACGCUAUUAGUGAGUGAUCGGCUGCUAGGACGAGAGGGCAAUAGCACCUCCUCUGGCCUCUUCUCUUCCUUGCGUCUGUCUCUUCCGCUUUCUUUUCUGCUUUGAGCUCUGUUAGUAGCUAUCGUUGACUUCCUCUCUUUGGGGAUGGUUAUAGAGCUUCCGACCAAUACGAAGAUAGUUCCCGCGCCCGGACUCCCCCAUUCCUUCUAUUGAGAGAGAAACCUCUGGAUAAUUCAACCUGCAGGUAUUGCCCAAGUCGGGGUUUUGGUUUUGUUAGGAUGGACAUAGGUGCGCACCUUCCUUUGACUUCCACACGCGUGCUGCUUUUCCUGUUCUACCAGCUCAGCUGGCUGCUUUCUCAUUCGUGCCAGAAGGGGAUCCUAAAAACAAACCUCGCUCUUGAAUUGAGUUUGCUUUGCCUUUUGUCGAGUGAGGGUUGCCCCAUAUUGGAAUGAGUUGAUGCCACCUUGCCCUUGCAAGCAAUCGUUUUCUAGGAUGCCACUGUAAAGGGGGUACCUUUCCUUUUUCCUCUGGCGAUUGUAGUGCCCACUGUGUUGGUCUUGAGUUGGAGCUAUCUGUAGCCAUCCAUGUCUGGCCAAUAUAUAAAAUAUGUUACUUCCAGCAUAAAAUAUGAUGUGUGAGAAUCCACAGGGCCUACCCUAAUGACAAUACUUAUUGCGGAGCGAGCGCUCGCAGACAGACAGAAAUGCCCGAACUCCAACUUUAAGAACCCUUGCCCCCCGGUUGGCGACCCUUUUGAUCAACCAACGUCGAAAUACACGAAAGGGGCGAUCUAUGUUUAUCCUUGAAAGUCGACCUCUGCCCUUCACUCAGGAAUGACCUAAAAGGACAGACAGUCGAAUCAGCUCCUGUUGGCCUAUUAUGGUAUGGCUGUCCAUCACUUGGUCUGACAAAGACCUACCCACGCCUAGGCAGGGAAAGCUCAAUAACUCAACCGGUAGGAUGAUCUCUCUAUCUAUGAAAUUCCUUAUUCCAGGACCGAAGCUUUCAGUCUCAUCUUCAUCUUUGGGACUUUCUUCCUAGCCAGACUCUACUAUAAUAUAGACUUUUGCAACAAGAAGAUCGAGAGAAGAAUCCAAGCUCCUCCUCCGCAAGUUGCUUUCUUUCCUCAGGACAGAAAAGAGAACUUGAAGGAAAGGCACCAUAGUCUUCUCUCUCUAUCUAUGAAAUUGGUUCUUCCAAGACAGAAGCUUUCGGGCUAGUCUUCAGACUUUCGGUACAUUCUGGCUAUGCCUGUUUGAAGCCCGUAGAUCACAUUCAGAGUCAAUGCAGCGGAUAGAAUCAGCGGAUAGCGGAACAGCGGAAAGAUCGCAUUGGGCCUGUGAGGCCUUAUGCCACUCCAAGCAAAGGAAGGAAGGGAAUGUAAGUCAUAGAAUCUUUCUUCUCUAUACUACGCUCUGGGCCUAGCUGCCCAUAUAAUCUAUUCUGUUCUGUCCUUAUCCUACGCUCUUCGUCUAAGAGCAAGAUCCAAUCCCAAAGGAAAGAAGACAGAUCGCAGAAGAGAGUCCGCUACUAAGAUAGGAGAAAGAAAACUACUAGAAUAGGAAAGUAAGAAGACUAGCUCGGCUGGGGGAGGACUACUAGCUGGAUAGGAUAGGUCAAGGGCAGUCCUAAGAGCAGGAAAGACAUAUUCUAAUCGACGGAGAGCUUAUGGGCCAGAAGCGCUAGGAAGGUUACCACGGCCUAGGGAGAGAAUACCAUGAUUCUCUGUCCUUCCUUCCUACUAGCUACAAGGACCUAACAGCUGAUUUACCGAAAGCAGAGAAUAGGUUGCAGCUCUUCUCUCUCUUUAAAGUGGGAGUUUGGGAGUGAUUUUGGUUAGUAGAUAGAUGAGUACUCACAUACUGAGUGUAUCGAUAGCUAAGCGUGAUCGGUAGGAGCUUUCGUAGUGAGCUCCGGCCCCAUGUCUGGGGUAGCGGUCUAAGCGCAGCAGAGCGAAGGCACUUUCUUCCCUUGGUGGAAGGAGGGAUUGCAAAAACCGAAAUAGAAGGGGAAGAAAGGGGAAGCACUCCUACGUCGAACUUCUUCUGCAUUUCUUUCUCGAAGCGCGAAGUCGGUCUUUGUUUUGUUAUUCUAGACCUAGAUGCGAUGCCCCUUUCGUGUCCUGAAAGAAGGGGCGACCUAUUUCGAUACGAAAAAACCUAACACCGACUUUGAGCCUAACUCAGGAGAAAAGAAAGAAGACGCAGGAUACACUCUCCAUCUCGGAAUGGGGCCAAUGACGAAAGCAGACUC
rnacentral:lncRNA from 1 species